rnacentral:rRNA from 1 species
GACGUAGGGCGCGAGCGUUGUCCGGAUUUAUUGGGCGUAACGAGCUCGUAGGCGGCUUGUUGCGUCGACUGUGAAAACCCGCGGCUUAACUGCGGGCUUGCAGUUGAUACGGGCAGGCUAGAGUUCGGUAGGGGAGACUGGAAUUCCUGGUGUAGCGGUGAAAUGCGCAGAUAUCAGGAGGAACACCGGUGGCGAAGGCGGGUCUCUGGGCCGAUACUGACGCUGAGGAGCGAAAGCGUGGGGAGCGAACAGG